rnacentral:rRNA from 1 species
GCUAGCGUUGCUCGGAAUCACUGGGCGUAAAGGGUGCGUAGGCGGGUUUUUAAGUCAGGGGUGAAAUCCUGGAGCUCAACUCCAGAACUGCCUUUGAUACUGAAGAUCUUGAGUCCGGGAGAGGUGAGUGGAACUGCGAGUGUAGAGGUGAAAUUCGUAGAUAUUCGCAAGAACACCAGUGGCGAAGGCGGCUCACUGGCCCGGUACUGACGCUGAGGCACGAAAGCGUGGGGAGCAAACAGG